rnacentral:misc_RNA from 1 species
AAAACGAAUGAUGGAAUCAGAUGCUGCUAUGACUGAGGACAUUGCUUACAAUAUUAUUCCCCUUGAUACCACUUCAACUACAAAUGCUAUCGUGUCUUUCAGUGAGGUACGUGCAGCAGUAUCAGCUCUGAAGUACUUCAGAGGCUUACCAAAAUUGCCUGGAGAUUUUUCUUUACCAUCAACAAGGAGCAUCGAUUUGUUUGAUUUUCUGCAUUACUCUUUUGGAUUUCAGCAAGGCAAUGUUUCCAAUCAACGAGAACAUAUUGUCCACCUCCUCGCAAAUGAGCAGACCCGGCUUCGUAUUCCUGAAGAACCUGAACCGAUAUUGGAUGAGGCUG